GUUGCCAACUUAGCGGAUUUGUCGCUAGAUUUAGCGACUUUUCAAACCCCCAUAGCGACUUUUUUCCAAAAAAGCGACUAGCGACAAAUCUAGCGACUUUUUUUUGACAGACCUUAUUUAUUCUCUGAGACUCUCCAGUACUGCCGAACGAGCACAAGCGCUCGCGCUCUCUCUCUCUCUCUCUCUCUCUCUCUCUCUCUCUCUCUCUCUCUCUCUCUCUCUCUCUCUCUCUCUCUCUCCCCCCCCACAGGCAGCGCGCGCACACGCAUCUCUAUCUGCCCUGUUCAGCGAGCAGAGAGGAGCAGCACUUUCAGUUAAAAAAAGAUAUUCUGUUGCUUCAAACUCUAUUUUACAUACAAGUACAGUCGAAAUCACAGUUCAACCAUUGUCUUAAUCUUAUGUGUAUGUUAUUUCAUAGUCGUGAAUAGGAUUUUAGUGCACAGAUUAACAUCUUUGAGAGCUGGUAUGUAGUCUUAAUGGACCGCGUUUCAGUCAUUAUAAUAUUAAUUCCGUUGUCUGACAACAGAAACAUUAAAAUAUAAUAAUAAAAAACGUUUUAUUGAGAAUUUUUGCAGCAUUAAAAUGCAGUACAUGAGCACAGAAAGGGCGAGAUAAUAUGACGCACCUACGUCAUGAAUAUGGUAAUUACCAUAUGACGUCAUCUAGCGACAUUUAGCGACUUUUCAGGCAGGGUUUAGCUACUUUCCAUUGAAAGAAGUUGGCAACACUGGUAGGAUCAGCGCAGCGCGGGCUGACUGAAUUCGAGGUGGAGGUGGAUGCCACACACACGCUGUAAUAUUUGGAGAAAUAAGACCCGCUCUUGACUGUCCGUGGUGGCAAAUCCACAGCCUUUCGCUGGAGUAGAAUCAACCGUAUCUGAAGAGAGAGCUGAGGAAAUUAAACAAUGGCUGAGAAACAACACACAGCCCAUCAGCCAGGUGGAACAGUACAUCUGAAAAAUAUUUGAGGUCCUCCACGAGUUUCCUCGGCUAACUACCUCAGGCAUGAUUGCACAGGACUUUCACAUUUUACAUCAAAAUGAAGCCCCAAAACUGUUUGAAAAAUGGCUGGUAUACUGACAGGAUCUUGCUUUUUGUGAGCGAGAAGCAAAGCUUUCAUGUACAGCUGAAGAAAUGACAGAAGAUGCAAAGGGAAAUCUUGCACUAAAGCUGUUACCUGUUUUGCUUCUACCUCCACCCUACAAAAUUGGCAGAAAAACAGUCCGACCCAGCAAUGAUGAAAGCAAAAAAGCUUUCAUUGACAUUCAGCCUGUUGGAACAAAUAUGGAGUACCUCCAGCAGGCUGAAGCAUCAAGACCUUACCCUUAUGUCCUGUAACUUGAAAAUGGACACAUUGCGUCGCGGGCAUUUGUCAUCCUCGCAGGAGAAGCUUUGGAACAAAGCACUAUUGUUUAAGGGGAAGUCGUGGCCUAAUGGUUAGAGAGUUGGACUCGCAAUUUAAGGGUUGUUUGUUCGAGUCUCGGGCCGACAGGAAUUGUAGGUAAGGGGAGUGCAUGUACAGUUCUCUCUCCACCUUCAAUACACGACUUAGGUGCCCUUGAGCAAGGCAUCGAACCCCCAACUGCUCCCCGGGCGCCGCAGCAUAAAUGGCUGCCCACUGCUCCGGGUGUGUGUUCACAGUGUGUUUGUGUGUGUGUUCACUGCUGUGUGUGUGUGCACUUGGGAUGGGUUAAAUGCAGAGCGUGAAUUCUGAGUAUGGGUCACCAUACUUGGCUGAAUGUCACAUCACUUUCACUUCACUUCAUUGGGACAGUAAAUGUAUGUUUCAAAUCGUUUUAUGUUUUUGAUGUAAACUAACCGAAACAUUGUUUCUAUAUUAGGGAGUUUAUUCAUAAUAUUUUUGAGUUGGAGGGAAGUGAAUCCCCAACAGUGAGAUUUUUGCACUGGGCACUACAUUCUUGCAAGUAGAUUAUAAGAGGUUCUUUGAACAAACAGUGGUUCAAGAACACGAGGUAGCAUUUUAGUUUAAGUUUUAUUUGCACAUGAGAUUUUUGUUCUGUUUUUUUUUGUAUAAACAACUGUUUUAUUGCUUGAGGAAGAGUAUUACUUUAUGCGUACUGAUGAUUAUCAAUUACAUUUUUAUGUAGAAAUAUUUUACUGCCAAUACGUAUGUAUUUCAUAGAUUUAUUUUUGUGUUCAUUUUGUAGACUUAAAACAACAGGUCCAUAAUGUAGACUUAAAACAAAUGUGCUUUGUAACAAACAGUUCUUGAGGUAAAGAAUUUUAUGUGCUUAUGGAUUAUUUAAAAAUAAGUAUUUAUUUGUAUAUUUUAAAAAAAAACCUUGAGGUUUUUUGGACUUAAUGAAUUUCAUAAGCAUAUGGAUUAAAAAUAAUAUGAAUUAUUUUUUAAAUGUAUUACUAAACCUUGUGGUUCUUUGGAGUUUAUGAAUUCAAAUGUUUUUUUCUAAACAUUUACAGUUUAGAAAAGUUACAGAGGCAAACCAUAAAAAUGAAAGAAAUUGUUUUAAAUACUGUUUAUAAAUGGAAUUUUAUUUUUUUAGUUUUGUAUGAUCUCUUGAAUUUUUGGUUGAGGUAAAGUGUAAUUACAAAGUGUAAUAUGCUGAAAGAAAAAUAAAGAUAAUACAAUGUUGUCCUGUUUGUUUAUUAUGUGGUAUAUUUAAUGUUAAAAGGAAUAAAAAUUCCUUUGAAAAUAUAACCCAUUUAUGAAAUCAAAUUAACCCAUUAUUUUUGUAAAAAUAACCAAUUUUUGGGUAGAAAAAACAACCCAUUUGCUGGGUUAAAAUUAAUAACCCAACUUCUUGGGUUAGUUUAACCCCAUAUGGGUUCUGUCCUAU